rfam:Brevibacillus choshinensis strain DSM 8552 scaffold2, whole genome shotgun sequence.
GCUCCUGUAGCUCAGUCGGUAGAGCGUUUCCAUGGUAAGGAAGAGGUCGCAGGUUCGAUUCCUGUCGGGAGCA